GGGGACGAUCGGUUUCGACGAUGUGAGUUGAUCAUGGGGAAGCGGGUCGAGGAAGCAAGAGGAUCUCGUAAAUACCCUCUGCAACCCAAUAAGUGCCGAUUCUAAGCGCACUGACUUCGCCCUGGCUGCCUGAUAAACCAGCCAGCGCAAGUCUGUCAGCCUGAGGUCGCUGUCGCCUCAGUGUCUGGCAUCAGCUAGACAGCCACUGGUGAUGCUCCCUUUUCCGUGGGGGAGUAUCACGACAAUGACACGGAUGGGCCCGGGACAGCCACUCGUCUGCAUGAUGGCUGGGGCCGAGCAACACCCUGCUGCAGACUGCACCCGGAGAAGCCCAUGAGAAUCCACAUCGGACGCGGGUUCGAUUCCCGCCGUCUCCACCC
rnacentral:tmRNA from 1 species